rnacentral:misc_RNA from 1 species
UCCAGCAGCCGCGGUAAUACGUUCCCGGGCCUUGUACACACCGCCCGUCACAUCACGAAAGUCGGUUGCACUAGAAGUCGGUGGGCUAACCCGCAAGGGAGGCAGCCGCCUAAAGUGUGAUCGGUAAUUGGGGUGAAGUCGUAACAAGGUAGCUGUAGGAGAACCUGCGGCUGGAUCACCUCCUUUCUAAGGAGCAUCUCCGCCUCGGAUCGAAACGAGGUCAGGAA